rnacentral:rRNA from 1 species
GACGAACGCUGGCGGCGUGCCUAAUACAUGCAAGUCGAACGCAGUGGGGACGGGUGAGUAACACGUGGGUAACCUCCCAUCAGAGGGGAUAACACUUGGAAACAGGUGCUAAACCGAUACUGAUGGAUGAACCCGCGGUGCAUUAGCAAGUUGGUGAGGUAACGGCUCACCAAGGCCAGGAUGCAUAGCCGACCGGGUGGAGUGAUCGGCAACACGGGGCCUGAGACACGGCCCAGACUCCUACGGGAGGCAGCAGUAGUGAAUCGUCGGCAAUGGACGAAAGUCGGACCGAGAAACGCCGCGUGAGUGAAGAAGGUUUUCGGAUCGAAAAACUCUGUUGUUAGAGAAGCGGUAUCUAACCAGAAAGCCACGGCUAACUACGUGCCAGCAGCCGCGGUAAUAC